rnacentral:lncRNA from 1 species
AUGCUCUCCUUCCACUGUGGGGCUGGAGCAGAGAGAAGGAUGGUCGUCACCCCCGCAGAAGGCAAGAGACUACCCUUAGCGUUGAUAACAACCAUACCUCACACUCACAGGCUCCUUUGCGGUUACAAAGUGUCCUUCUUCACUGCUGAGCGUUUGCUCCUCACCACAGCCAUUUCACAGGAAAGGAAGCCAAGCCUCAGAGAGGCUGCGACUCUCUCUCAGACAGCCCGUGGCAUGGCUGGGGCCAGGACGGACCUCUGCACGUUCCGAGUCCUGCAGGCGCACGUCCUGGAGAGAGGGGAGCUGGCAGAGAGGUCCAGGCGGGUCUGGGAGCAGGGCCGGGGGCGGGGUGACGAGUGUGGCAGUUCCCGAGUCUGCCGACAGAGGGCGCCGCCGCCCCGCAAGUCGGCCGGGCCACGCCCCCUACCGGGACCCGCCCCUUUGCAGCGGGGAACCACAGCACCCAGUGAGGAGCGGCUCGGCGGGCUGGGGUUCGAGGCCUUGGGGAUGGGAGGGCGGUGGACUGGCUGGGCCGGGGCAGGAGGAGCAGCAGCAGGGGAUGGGCUGGGCCAGAGCAGAAGGAGGAGCCUCAAGGGAGGUCACCGGCGGGCCGGGGUUUGCGUGGAUCCCAGCAAAGCACAACCCCGAGGCCCCCUCUGCGCUCCCACCCGAAUCGCGGCGGCGGCACGCCCAGGAGGGAGCUGGCCUCUGCAGCUCAACCCACAGCCUCCCGGCCCCGGGGCGGGAGAGGGUGGAGAGGGAGGGCGGCGCCCGGCGGACUCCACCCGAGCAACACCGCCAGCCCCCAACCGCUGCAGUCUAGCCCAGGCCUUGAAGGUCAGCCUGCAGCCUCUUGAGCAGCGCGUGGGGCUCCAACCCCCAGCACCUCCACCUGUCCCAUGUCUCCGAGCUGAGCCCCAACUCUGGUAUAGACGGGAACCCGUAAAGAGCAGCCUCCGGCAGGGAUCCCCCUCCGGCUGUGCGCCCCAGCCCCGCCUCCUCUCCCCCCACCUCGCCCCUGAGUACUGGCGACACCCAGCCAGCCGGCAGGGGCUGGACACUGUGAUGAGCCCCGCCCCCAUCUCCUCCCUCGCCCCCACCCAUACCCCCUCCAACCAAGGCGAGGACGCAGAUGUGUCAGCUAGGAUCCCUGCCCUCUAA